AACGCACGAGACCUGCGGACCUGCGGAGGGAUCAUUAUCGAAUACCCUCAUUGGGGGCUUGGCCUGGCCCGUCGGCCGUAAGAGCCGGCUCCCAAUAAUCCACCCACACACCCACCUUGUCCACAUUCCAGAGGCCACCCUUCUCGGGUGGCCUACCCAAUAUGAAAAACACGUUUGGUAUCAGAAUGUUUUUUUGUAUUUGACAAAAAAAGAAAUACAACUUUCAGCAAUGGAUCUCUA
rnacentral:misc_RNA from 1 species